GCCCAAACGAAACGACACCCAACCAAAUCCUCCCUCCCAAGCCGCCGCCGCCGCCGCCGACGCCUCGUCCGCCUCCGCCUCCACCUCCAUGCGACGGCCCCGCCCGCGGUCUUCUCCCCCAGCUCGUCUCGUCUCCUCUCCUCUCCGGUCACCGCGCCGCCGUGCUUGAGCUGCGGCGAGCGGCAGAGGUCCGCCGCCGGCUGGCUCAAGCUCCAUCCUUGUCCACAAUCAAGCACCCCCACCGCCACCGCGCCCUCCUGGCCGCCUGCCCACGGCGCCGCAAGUCAAGUCCGCAGGAUCCCCUCCAAAAGCGUCGGAUUCGGAUGUGCAGUUUGAUGAGACGAUCCCAUCUCCAUCUCAUCUUCUCGUGUCAAGGACGCCAUGGAAGAGGUUUCGCUUCUCUUCAUUCAUGAGCAGGAUCAGGAUCAGGAUCUUUCUUGAACAAACUUAAUUAUUGGCAUGCAGAUUCAUGAAUCAAUUUAAUUUUUGUUUGUGCUGUAGGCAGCGUCAUCCCAUCUCAUCUGCUUGUGUGAAGGACAGGGGCCCUGGAGGAGCUGCUCCCCUGCGGGUUCAGUGGCUGCUCCGACACUGACGGCAUGGAAGGUCCUCGCUUGCCCUUACCUCUCCCUGUUCGGUUCCGUUCAUGAGCAGAUUUAAUUUUUGGCAGAUUCACGAAUCAAUUUUGUCCCACAAGUUGGAGCUUUAUGUGGUUGCGACUAGGGAUUAUUGUAAUGCUAUUCGCUUUCACUGGAUGGACGUGUGAAUGAAAUUACAUGUGUUAGUCAAAUGAACAAAUUAGAUGACCCCCCAUGCCUACAAGCCUUCUUGGAUUAAAAUUAAAUGGUUUAUUGAUGUCUAGUUUCUGCAUGUUCUGGUUGGUUGUGAAACACAUGCGGUUUUUCUAGGCCGAUUCAGUUUUUUGGUUCUGUCUUGUUCUAGCCUUCUAGGUCGAUUCAGUUUUUCAUUUUCUCUCUUUAUGAUUUAAACACGAACUGCAGAUCCAGUAUC